AAAUUGAAGAGUUUGAUCAUGGCUCAGAUUGAACGCUGGCGGCAGGCCUAACACAUGCAAGUCGAACGGUAACAGGAAUCAGCUUGCUGAUUUGCUGACGAGUGGCGGACGGGUGAGUAAUGUCUGGGAAACUGCCUGAUGGAGGGGGAUAACUACUGGAAACGGUAGCU
rnacentral:rRNA from 1 species